rnacentral:tRNA from 1 species
GCCCUCGUGGCGGAACUGGUAGACGCGUACGGUUUAGGACCGUAUGGAUUAUAUCCUUAGAGGUUCGAGUCCUCUCGAGGGCA